UCUUCGCUGCCUGCGCCCACCUCGUCUUCCUUCUCCCGCCGCUCCGCGCCCGGGCUUUUGCUCUAAGUGUAGUUUCUGAAGGUGCAGAAGAUGAGACUGAGCUACCAGUGCUGCAGAAGUCUGAAAAAAGUAGAACAACUAGUAAAAGAGGCAGAGAAUUAAAAGGAAUUGUAUUUGUCAUCCAGAGUCAAAGUAAUUCUUUUCAUUCCAAGAGAGCAGAAGAUCUAAAAAGGGAUAUUUUGAAACAGGCUGUAGAUCUUGGAAAGGUAUGUUGAGUUACUAUUAAGUGCAAAUUGUUGUGUAUGCUGUUACCACAUUUUACUAAAAAUAUUGGGGUUUGUUGUGCCUUUUUUCAAAGCCAUUCUAUUUCUUUUGUUAAUUGCUUUCUGUGUGCUUAUACAAAAACUAUUUCAGUGUUUAUUUGCUGAUUGUACACUGUGAUUUAUCCCUACUUUUCAUUUCAACUAUCAACCUUUUUGUGUAAGGGCUGUUAUUGUUUGGAUGGCAUUUGAUGCAAAAGUGAUAAGAAAGGCUUGGAAGAAGGCUUAGUGUUACUGUAGUGUGUUUGCAAAAAAAAGGGAAAAAAGAUGCAUUCUUUAUGAAGUGAAAAACGUAGCAAUUUAAUGAUCAGUUAGAAUAAUUUUAGGUGAGCAUUUUAAUAGAGCCAGUGAAUGUGCUGUAAUGUAGAUUUUGUCAGAAUUCCAUUACACAAUUGUGACAUUGUGGCAGUAGAACAGAAAUGUGUGUGGACAUUAAAUUCCUAAGGCAGGAUUCUCCCCUUCGUGCAGCAGCAGUCCUUCACACCUCUCUUGCCCCUGCCCCUCCGUGAUGCAGAACCUUCCCUAAUUAUUCCUUGUUCCUCUGCAGACUGAGCACUCUGCCCUUGACCUGCUGGUGGGUCACAUUGACCUGAGAGC